GAGUAGUAAUAGUUAUGUUCUUCAAACUUAAAGAAUUUGGCGGUAUUUUAGUCUAUUCAGAGGAACCUGUUCUGUAAUCGAUAAUCCGCGAGGACUUUACUUUAAUUAGUAAAUUAAUUUGUAUACCGCCGUUAUUGAUUAUCUUAUAAGAGAAUUAAUUUUCUUAAUUUUUUAAAAAAAUAUCAGGUCAAGGUGCAGUUUAUGUUAAAGGAAGAAAUGGGUUACAAUAAAUUUAUUUAUACGGAUUUAUAAUUGAAAUAUUAUAUUGAAGGCGGAUUUGAUAGUAAAAUUAUUAAUUACAUUAAUUUGAACUUAGCUCUAAAAUAUGU
rnacentral:rRNA from 1 species